AUGGUGGAGCUCGACCUGCAUAAGUUGAUGGCGGAGGCUACGCAGCAGCGGAGCAGCAUCACCACCACGCUCCUUGCGAUCCAGAAGUCACUCGACAAGAUGCAGCCGAUGAUCACCAAGAGGGAGGCGGUGCUGGCCUCCCUCGAGCCUGCUAUCAACGAGCUCCCUGCCCGGCGUCCCAGGGUGGACACGGCGGUGGGCAAGCUGCAGGCGGACGGCGAUAUUCUAGGGCUCCUCGCCAAGAUCGCCACCAGAUCGGUCCCUUCAGGCAGCUCCUCCACCAUGGUGUCCUCAAGGUGUUCGACAGAGUGCCUUAUCCACGCUGAUGACUGGGUGCAACCUAUGUCCGCCAACAGCAAGGAAUCCAACAUCACCCUUGUUGUAGCAGUCGAAAACAACACUGUGGACCCCAUUGCUCCUGUGCCCACCGUGGGUUCGAGGAGCAGCCUGCAGCCAUUACGACGGUUUUACCUACAGCGAGUGAUGCCGAGGAUGUGCGUGAAGUCGUCCUCCCUGCUACUCCGCCACAGCGCACGACGCCUGCUCAACCUCGGCGGCCAUGACGGAGAUGGACUCAGCAACCGUGCUCAAGCUCCUGCCCACUUUGGAGUAUCCUUGUGA
rnacentral:rRNA from 1 species